GGGCAUUUGGUCUAGUGGUAUGAUUCUCGCUUUGGGUGCGAGAGGCCGUGAGUUCGAUUCUCGCAAUGCCCC
rfam:Selaginella moellendorffii unplaced genomic scaffold SELMOscaffold_0, whole genome shotgun sequence.